rnacentral:tRNA from 1 species
GGUUGUGGCUCAGUGGUAGAGUGCUUGCCUAGCAUGUGUGAAGCACUGGGUUCGAUUCCCUGCACCA